rnacentral:rRNA from 1 species
UCCUGAGAAACGGCUACCACAUCUAAGGAAGGCAGCAGGCACGCAAAUUACCCACUCCCAGCACGGGGAGGUAGUGACGAGAAAUACUGAUGCGGGUUGUAAUGGACCUCGCGAUCGGAAUGAGUGCAAUAUAAACCCUUGGACAAGGAUCCAUUGGAGGGCAAGCCUGGUGCCAGCAGCCGCGGUAAUACCAGCUCCAAUAGCGUAUAUUAAAUUUGCUGCGGUUAAAGCGCUCGUAGUUGAGCUUUACAAUCGGGGCCGACACGGCAGCCGAAAAAAGCAGCUCUCAAGCCGCAUAGGUUCAAAGCUCCUUGUCCUCGGCAACAUAGCUGAGUUGGAGGGGCGGCGACCGCGGUGGCGGACUGCGUGGUUGUAUAGAGACGGUCCGGUUAAGUACAAGAUUCGGGUUUUAUUCACGCGUUUCCGGACGGGAUAUCAUUCCCGCGCCGGGCGCGUGAGCCCCCGAAUACGUUCACCGUGACGAAAUUAAAGUGCUCAAAGCAGGCUCAAAAGUCCUAUAAAGUAGCGCAUGGUAUGAUGGAACAGGACCUCGGUUCUGUCAUGUAAUCGGUUCUUAGGAACCAGAGGUAAUGAUUAACGGGAACGGACGGGGACAUUAGUAUUGCUACGCGAGAGGUGAAAUUCUUAGACCGUAGCAAGACUAACUACUGCGUAAGCAUUUGUCCAGGAUGUAUCCAUUAAUCAAGAUCUAAAGUCAGAGGAUCGAAGGCGAUUAGAUACCGCCCUAGUUCUAACUAUAAACGAUGCCAACUAGCGAUCCGCCGGUGUACAGCACCCCUACGCGGCGGGAAACUUCCGGGAAACCUAAGUUUUUGGGUUCCGGGGGGAGUAUGGUUGCAAGGCUGAAACUUAAAGGAAUUGACGGAGGGGCACCACAAGGAGUGGAGCCUGCGGCUUAAUUUGACUCAACACGGGGAACCUUACCAGGCCCUGACGCUGUGUGGAUUGACAGAUUGAGAGCUCUUUCUCGAUGCAGAGGAUGGUGGUGCAUGGCCGUUCUUAGUUGGUGGAGUGAUUUGUCUGGUUGAUUCCGAUAACGAACAAGACUCUUACCUACUUAAUAGUUGGCGGAUGAUUAACCUCCCCACGAGCUCGUCGCCGCUAUCUCGGGUAACUCGACGCCGUCGAAGACCUCCCCGUAUCCUCUCUUUACUCUUCUUCCUUUUCUCCUUUCCUCGCGGGAAGUGAGGGGGGGGAGAGAGGGAGAGGUACGGGUGAGGUUCGGCGGGGCCGGGCCCCGAAUAGCGAGCGGGUUCAAACAAGGAGAGGUGUCCGUCGUAAUGUCUUCUUAGAGGUAUCAUCAUCUUAGAAGGUGCACGAGAAAGAGCAAUAACAGGUCUGUGAUGCCCUUAGAUGGUCUGGGCCGCACGCGCGCUACAAUGAAGGGAGCAACGUGAUUAUCCCCCUCCGAAAGGAAAGGGAACCCGUUGAAACCCCUCUCUCGAUUGGGAUUGUGGCUUGUAAAUAUAUCUCAUGAACGAGGAAUUCCCAGUAAGCGCAGGUCAUGAGCCUGCGUUGACUAAGUCACUGCCCUUUGUACACACCGCCCGUCGCUACUACCGAUUGAAUGGUUAAGUGAGGUCAUCAGACUGGCACCCGACGACGGCGCGCUAGAGUUAACUCUCUGCCGCCGCACAGGGUUGACGGGAACAUGUCCGAACUUGACCAUUUAGAGGAAGUAAAAGUCGUAACAAGGUUUCCGUAGGUGAACCUGCGGGAAAGGAUCA